rfam:Myotis lucifugus cont2.3760, whole genome shotgun sequence.
UGUGGGUCCAAGCCUGUAGCCUCAAAUUGGAUAAUCUCUGCAGCUGAUAACAAGCAAAAGAGAAGCCAGGAAACAGACAUAAUAAAGAAGACAACAACUCUGAGU